GUUCUACGAUGCUGCAUGGGGGUUCUAGAAAUCAGGACACAUGAAGGGGAAGACAUAGAAGGAAAAGUGGCAAAUCUAUUUUGAACCUUGUAGGUUUCUCCCACUAUUAUGCACCUGAUAAGGGUCUCAAGAAAGAUCUAUAUUGUGAAUCAGAAACAGUCACAUCCAGCAAAAAAAAAAAAAAAAAUGCUAAAGGAAUAAAGAAUCAAGAUAGGUCAUGAUGCCAGAGCCCGGAGUGAUGCUG